CUACAGGAUUUUUUAAGAUCCACCCAUUUCAAACAGUGCUAUCUUU
rfam:Corvus brachyrhynchos isolate BGI_N302 unplaced genomic scaffold scaffold399, whole genome shotgun sequence.